CCUACUCACACAGGACGCGCAACUGGACACUCCUAUUACGGUGCAACGUCACCCCAUCCACCUCGAUGGUGGCGUUACAGAAGAAGGAUACCUUGCUGCCUGCCUCACCCACCCCCCUUUUCCAGGACACACAGAGCCUUCUUCAAAAGUCCCAAGACUGUGAGCCUCCCAUCUGAGGCUACCCUGCCCAAUGGCCAAGGGCGUGUGUUCCUUAAAGCCCUGAGGGCCAGGCCACCCCAUUCUCAGGAAUUCCGUGGCCAGGGAACGCUUACUCUGGCUCCACUCAUCACCCACCGUCUGCAGUUCUUUCCCUCACCGAAGGUUCGAAGCUUCCUGGGGCCCGAGGUGUUCUGGAAGAGUUCCAGUCCUUGGGACCGCAGGUCCAGUUCUGAGCGGCAGGAGAAAUUGGUGCCAUGAUCCUCUCUUCUCGGCUGCACCAUGAACGUGACCUUGGUAGGCUCCUCCUUUCCCACGGGCUGCCGGCCCAGCUCCUCCUCCCAGCGGAGAAGCACCACAGUGAGGUGGUUCCGGGGGGCCCCGCCAAACACCAGACAGCUCAGGUUGAGUUGUUCACCUACCGGCUGCCAGAGGGGCAGGGGUGCCAGCUCCACACGCUCUGGGAACCCUGAAUGGAGGCGUGUGAAGGGGAGAGUAGAACAUACCAGUCAGCCCAGCAGCCCCCACCGUGGACAGGAGUCCAGGGUGGCCCACUGCAGGACUGUGAACUUCAAGUUAAUAAACUUGCUGGACUUACAA